rnacentral:misc_RNA from 1 species
ACAAACUUGGUCAUUUAGAGGAAGUAAAAGUCGUAACAAGGUCUCCGUUGGUGAACCAGCGGAGGGAUCAUUACAGAGUUAUCUUAAAACUCCUAAACCCUUUGUAUAACCUACCACUGUUGCCUCGGCGGGGUCUGUAACGACCUACCCUGUAGCUACCCUAUACCUACCCUGUAGGUCGCUACCCUGUACCUACCCUGUAGGCAGGCCCCUGACCCCGCCGGCGGACUUUUAAACUCUGUUUUUAAACGCGAAUCUCUGAAUUAGUGACUAUAAUAAGUUAAAACUUUCAACAACGGAUCUCUUGGUUCUGGCAUCGAUGAAGAACGCAGC